UUUUUAGUAUAAGUAUGUCCCAUGAAAUACUUGAGAAAUAUUUACACUAAAA
rfam:Pan troglodytes isolate Yerkes chimp pedigree #C0471 (Clint) chromosome 12, whole genome shotgun sequence.